rnacentral:lncRNA from 1 species
CAAGGAGCCAUGAUCCUGACCUAAUUUAAAUUUCACAAGAUUUUACCAUUUCAAGAUGCAGACUUGUUACGAAGAUAAGACAUUUCCAGUCUUGAACUCAGAAAGCCUAUUGGGUGUGAUAAUACUGUCCCCUUUUGCUUUCUUUUACGACCACAUGAAACUUGAGAAGCCAUCUAAAGCUAAAUCAUUUAGUGGAGUUGGGCAGUUCCCAAGUGUCCAACAAGAAGGC